rnacentral:lncRNA from 1 species
CUCAGGCUGAGUCUGUACACCUUGUUCUGGAGCCAGACUGUCUGGCUUCUGACACUUGGCAGCUUUGUGACCUUGGCAACGUACCCACCUCUGUCUCAGUUCCCUGGUUGAGGUAGAGAUAGUAAUAGCAUCCACCUUGUAGAGUUGAUAGGAAGAUUCCGUGAGUUAAUACAUGCACCAUGCUGCAACAGGACAGCUGCGAGAUACUGGAGGAGGACUUUCAGUGCUUGUCCCCCCAUGGAAACAUCUUAAACUAUCUGUGCAUGAAAAUACCCUAAGCGCUAAGAAAACCAUGUGAGAGAUGACAGCACCUGGGUGUUGCAUGCAAAUAUUAAGAAAAGAUGCAUUGGAGAGGGCAGGGAGGACAUGUUCACAGGACCUGUGCCAACCCCUCCCUCAGCCGCAGGCAGCGCAGCACACAUCGGAACACCCUCUGCAUGGGGGGAAGAGAGGGAAGCGAGUCCCAGAUUCAACCUUGGACCUCAGCACUACCCCAGUAAAACCCAGUGCCCAGCAGGUCCUCACAGCCCCAGACUCCAGGCUGGUAGCUGCACACUUGCCCCCAGGCCUGCCUGUAGCAUAGAAGCUUCACGAGAAUGCCUGAGACCACUGUGGACACUCAUGUGACUAACAUUUGCUCAAGGCAACACACCUGCCCAUUCUUGAUAGAGGAGUAGUAAGGGCCUAGGAUUACAAGCCCUUACUAUUCUAGAUAACCUAUCUAUGUAUCUAGGAUAUAUGGAUCCCAGGUUUCUAGCUUAGGAGACAGCAGAGAAGUGAUGGGUGCCAAUGGACCAUCCAGCCGGAAAGGGGAAAAAAUACAUGCAAAGCAUUUCAGCAGGCUUGGUGCUUACUACUGAGUUCACUGUGGGUCAAAUCAUUGACCCCUUAUGUUCCCCUCUUGAUUCAAGCCACGAGGAAGAAGAACCCGGAAAUACAGUCCUGGAUGGAGUUUGUGUCUUGUAGGAGCUGGUUGUUACCAGCUUGUACCCACUGCUCCCACAGCACCCUCUCCACCCAAAGCACCCACCGUCAAAUUACCCUUCCAGCUCUGCAGAUCCAGCAGGAGGUUAGCGUGAAGGAAUCACAUCAGAUAUAGAGUCCCACUCUGUCACCCAGGCUGGAAUGGAG